GACGAACGCUGGCGGCGUGCCUAAUACAUGCAAGUCGAACGGACUGGGGACGGGUGAGUAGCACGUGGCUAACCUGCCAUCAGAGUGGAUAACACUUAGAUACAGGUGCUAAACCGAUACUGAUUUAUCGACCCGCGGUGCAUUAGCUAGUUGGUGAGGUAAAGGCUCACCAAGGCGACGAUGCAUAGCCGACCUGAGAGGAUGAUCGGCCACACUGGGACUGAGACACGGCCCAGACUCCUACGGGAGGCAGCAGUGGGGAAUCUUCGGCAAUGGGCGAAAGUCUGACCCAGCAACGCCGCGUGAGUGAAGAAGGUUUUCGGAUCGUAAAACUCUGUUGUUAGGGAAGCGGUACCUAACCAGAAAGCAACGGCUAACUACGUGCCAGCAGCCGCGGUAAUUC
rnacentral:rRNA from 1 species